AACGCACAUUGCGCCCGCUAGUAUUCUGGCGGGCAUGCCUGUUCGAGCGUCAUUUCAACCCCUCGGUCCCCCCUUUCGGGGACCGGCGUCGGGGAGCACCGCCCGCGAGGGCGGCCCCCUAGAAGCAUUGGCGGACAGCCUGUGGAGUCCGAGCGCAGUAACACAUCUCUCGCUCGCGGACGAACGGGCGGCCCUGCCGUAAAAGCCCCAACUUUCUCAAGGUUGACCUCGGAUCAGGUAGGAAUACCCGCUGAACUUAA
rnacentral:misc_RNA from 1 species